AUCACAAUAUUCAAAUGUAAUUUUCCUUAAACAUUAUGCAAACCCAGUGUCCAUAUAUAAGGAAGUGAAGUGUGAGUGUGUGAGUCAGAAAGAGCUCAGUGAGUUCAUCUUCAGCAUCAACCAUGUUCUCUGCAGCUCUGAUGCUGCUGCUGACAGCUGGAUCCUGUGUGGACAGUAUUGAUCUCAUCCAGCCAGACUCAAAGGUUGUUCAGCCUGGACAGUCUUUGACCAUCAGCUGUCGGGUUUCUGGAUAUUCACUCACUACUAGCGGCUAUGGAACAGGCUGGGUCAGACAGCGAGAAGGAAAACUAAUGGACUGGAUUUUUGUUGUGUGGUAUGAUGGGAGCUCCAAUCAAAAUGAAGCUCUAAAAAACAAGUUCAGCUUCAGCAGAGACACUUCUGCAGGAACAGUGACAAUAACAGGACAGAAUCUGCAGCCUGAAGACACAGCUGUGUAUUACUGUGUGAGGGUGAACCACAGUGAUACAAACAAACACAAACCUGUACAAAAACUCAGCAGCUAUGAAGACACACAGUUUACGAACAGAGAAAGACAGUUCAAUAUUUAUACACACAUUGACUUGAAACACACUUUUUUUUUUUUAACUGAGGCUGAGAGCUUCUAG